rnacentral:rRNA from 1 species
GAUGAACGCUGACAGAAUGCUUAACACAUGCAAGUCCACUUGAACUUCGGUUUGGGUGGCGGACGGGUGAGUAACGCGUAAAGAACUUGCCUCACAACUAGGGACAACAUUUGGAAACGAAUGCUAAUACCUGAUAUUAUGAUUAUAUGGCAUCGUAUAAUUAUGAAAGCUAUAUGCGCUGUGAGAGAGCUUUGCGUCCCAUUAGCUAGUUGGAGAGGUAACAGCUCACCAAGGCGAUGAUGGGUAGCCGGCCUGAGAGGGUGAUCGGCCACAAGGGGACUGAGACACGGCCCUUACUCCUACGGGAGGCAGCAGUGGGGAAUAUUGGACAAUGGACCGAGAGUCUGAUCCAGCAAUUCUGUGUGCACGAUGAAGUUUUUCGGAAUGUAAAGUGCUUUCAGUUGGGAAGAAAAAAAUGACGGUACCAACAGAAGAAGUGACGGCUAAAUACGUG